GUACGCGAAAUCGAUUCCGAGAAGGGUGUCUGCCGAAGAAAUCAUAACAUACUCGGGAGUCCCUCCGCUUCUCUCCGCUCCCCGUUUCUCCAUCGCCAGCCGGAGAUGUCUAAACUUGCGGGCGACGGGGAGAGGGAAUGGGAGGAAAUGGGAGGAAUGGUGCCGGUGGGGAGGAGCUUGCAAGGGGAGAAGGUGAUUCUGGUGCCCUACAUGAGGGAGCACGUGCCCACGUACCACAGGUGGAUGCAGGACCCCGCCCUCCUCGCCGCCACCGCCUCCGAGCCCCUCACCCUCCACCAGGAGUACCAGAUGCACGGCUCCUGGACCCAGGAUCCCCUCAAGCAUACUUUUAUAUUGCUAGACAAGCAGCUGAUCCAGGGUGGUUUUGUCCCUGGGGACCCCCACGUCGAAGCUAUGGUUGGUGAUGUGAAUAUAUACAUGAAUGAUCCUGAUGACUUGCAUAUUGCAGAAAUAGAGAUUAUGAUUGCUGAACUGACAAGUCGCCAGAAGGGGCUUGGAAAAGAAUCUAUCUUGAUGAUGAUGGCUUUUGCAGUUGAGAGAUAUGGAAUUCAUACUUUUCGUGCCAAAAUCGCAGAAUCAAAUGCAGCAUCAAUUAAUCUUUUUAGGAAAUUGGGAUAUGUUGAUGCUUCUUAUAGUGAAGUCUUUAAGGAGGUUACUCUGGAGGUGCCUGUAAGAGAGCUUUCAAUUAAAGGUCCAGAGACAUAACAAGGUUCUAAGGGACCAUAGAAAGUUUCGGAGAGGUCAACCUUUGCGGACGAACACGCAAGGGUGCCGCACGACUUAGGCAAAACCAACUAAGAACUGAUAAGGCAAGCAAUGGCUGGUGGAAGGGAAUACUCGUAUUUAGAAAUAAUAUCAAAAAAAUCUUGGAAUACAGGUUUGCUUUGACAAAUUUGUGGGUGUAAUUUGAUCAUGAAGAUAAAAAGACGAGCUCUUCAAGAUUGGCCAGCAGUGGAUUAUCUGCCCUAACAUUAUGAGCAGAUGAGGCCAACAAUAACUGUCAUAAUUGCAAGUAGAUAACCUUCUCUCAUGGUACGUCUGUAGUAACGAGGAAAAUUAGAAGCAAUUGAUUCUUAUGUUACUUGGGUUUUUGAUAAUUGACCGUCAUUCUACA